rnacentral:tRNA from 1 species
GCCCGGGUGGCGGAAUUUGGUAGACGCAAGGGACUUAAAAUCCCUCGAUGGUAACAUCGUGCCGGUUCAAGUCCGGCCUCGGGUACCA